rnacentral:rRNA from 1 species
GACGAACGCUGGCGGCGUGCUUAACACAUGCAAGUCGAACGGAAAGGCCUUGCUUUUGUGGGGUGCUCGAGUGGCGAACGGGUGAGUAACACGUGAGUAACCUGCCCUUGACUUUGGGAUAACUUCAGGAAACUGGGGCUAAUACCGGAUAGGAGCUCCUGCUGCAUGGUGGGGGUUGGAAAGUUUCGGCGGUUGGGGAUGGACUCGCGGCUUAUCAGCUUGUUGGUGGGGUAGUGGCUUACCAAGGCUUUGACGGGUAGCCGGCCUGAGAGGGUGACCGGCCACAUUGGGACUGAGAUACGGCCCAGACUCCUACGGGAGGCAGCAGUGGGGAAUAUUGCACAAUGGGCGGAAGCCUGAUGCAGAAACGCCGCGUGCGGGAUGACGGCCUUCGGGUUGUAAACCGCUUUCGCCUGUGACGAAGCGUGAGUGACGGUAAUGGGUAAAGAAGCACCGGCUAACUACGUG